AUUGAACGCUGGCGGCAGGCCUAACACAUGCAAGUCGAACGAGUGGCGGACGGGUGAGUAAUGUCUGGGAAACUGCCCGAUGGAGGGGGAUAACUACUGGAAACGGUAGCUAAUACCGCAUACCAUCGGAUGUGCCCAGAUGGGAUUAGCUAGUAGGUGGGGUAACGGCGCACCUAGGCGACGAUCCCUAGCUGGUCUGAGAGGAUUGCCAGCAACACUGGAAGUGAGACACGGUCCAGACUCCGAGGGAAGGCAGCAGUGGGGAAUAUGGAACAAUGGGCGCAAGCCUGAUGAAGCCAUGCCGAGUGUAUGAAGAAGGCCUUCGGGGUGUACAGUAAUUUCAGCGAGGAGGCGUUACUCGCAGAAGAAGCACCGGCUAACUCCGUGCCAGCCGCCGCGGUAAUAC
rnacentral:rRNA from 1 species